UACGGGGGGCAGCAGUGGGGAAUUUUGGACAAUGGGGGAAACCCCGAUCCAGCCCAUACUCCGCGUGUGCGAUGAAGGCCUUCGGGUUGUAAAGCACUUUGCAGGAGGAAGAAAAACGGCGGCGAACUUAUGCAACUGACGAAGCUGCAGAAUAAAGCAACAAUAAUCCAUGCCAGCAGCCGCGGUAAUACGUAGGGUGCAAGCGUUAAUUGGAAUUACUGGGCGGUAAAGGUGCAGGCGGUUCGGAAAGAAAGAUGUGAACCAGAGCUUAAUUCAGAACCUGCAUUUUUAACUACCGAGCUAGAGUGUGUCAGAGGGAGGUGGAAUUCCGCGUGCAGUGAAAUGCGUGAGAUAUGCAGGAACACCGAUGGCGAAGGCAGCCUCCUGAUAACACUGACGUUCAUGCACGAAAGCGGGGAGCAAACAGGAUUAGAUACCCGCGUAGU
rnacentral:misc_RNA from 1 species